rnacentral:rRNA from 1 species
UACGAAGGGGGCUAGCGUUGCUCGGAAUUACUGGGCGUAAAGGGCGCGUAGGCGGACAGUUAAGUUGGGGGUGAAAGCCCGGGGCUCAACCUCGGAAUUGCCUUCAAUACUGGCUGUCUUGAGUACGGGAGAGGUGAGUGGAACUCCGAGUGUAGAGGUGAAAUUCGUAGAUAUUCGGAAGAACACCAGUGGCGAAGGCGACUCACUGGCCCGUUACUGACGCUGAGGCGCGAAAGCGUGGGGAGCAAACAGG